GACAAAGUGAACAUUUGUGGAAGUCCGGAUCUACCCCUUAGUGAGUGUUAAUUGACCCCUCUCCCUCUUUACCUCAGCCCACCGACCAGCAGGGCAUUCAUGACACGGGUAGGGGUGCAGCUCUGCACCAUGUGACCCAGGGCAAAGUUGGCGGCCUGCCGGAUGAAGUUGUUGGCCUCGCUGGCUUUGUGCAGCAGCACGCGUGCCGUGCCGUCCCCUCCACCUCACUGUCCAUGGCCCUCUGGAGGUGAACGUACAUGUCACCCAGUGUGGCCAUGGCAGCACAGGACACUGCAGAGCGCAGGUUCUUCACCUGAAUUGGCAAGGCAGAUAUCAUGGAGUUUAGGCAUCAGUAUGUCCAUGUGGUUCUGAGCCAUCACACGGACAGAGGUCAAGCCCUCGAUCUUCUUCUCCCUGCAAUUCAGUGAAAGAAACGUAAGCAAUUUCCACAACAUUUUCCAAAAACAUUAUAAUGAUGUUCAUCAAUUAGGACUCUGGUCUCUUAAUUUCAGAAGUUUCUACGCUCUGUAGCUCAAAUCUACAUUUCCAAGGACACUACACUGUGCUUCCUUUAGCCUAGCUCCAUUGGUCUUGUCUACAGUGAAUGCUCACCAGUCAUCAGAGGCAGAGUGGAGCAGCUUGAAGGUCUUAGUCAGGGCCUGCUCUGGGUUGGACAGGGGCUGCAAUCUGGCCUGGUCCUGACUUUUCUUUAUUUGGCCCUUUGGCUCACUGGCUGCCUUCUUGUCUAUGGGUUGACAGCAGACAUCUAUCUCUCUGUGAACUGUAUUUAUGUAUUUACUCAUUUCCAUAUCUGUUUGUAGCUUUUAACACUAGAACAUCUUAGUUCAUUAUGAUAUCAUUUUAAAUUUAGCACACAUUUUUUGGUGCUCACCCUGCUCAGAAGCAGGGUCUAAUUCGCCUUGAGCAAAGGUUAUCUCACUGUGCAACAGGCAAAGCAAGUGUGGAAAAAUGUCUUAGCCCUGGGCUAAAGCCAUUUGUGUCCCUUCACUUCCUACUAUGAGUCUACCUAGCUUCAUCUCGCUGUCUAAUUUAAAUUAGUGUGAGUACAUGAGAGGGACUGACCUGAGCCGGUGUCAGCCUUUUGCAGGCUAAGGAACCUUGUAGGCCGAGGCAGUUUGCUCCUGGGCUUGGUAGGAGGGGGAGCAGGCCUGGGUGGGCUGUCACACGACUUUACCGGGGUCCCAACAUCCAAGUAGUCACGGAGCUCCGCAGGGGUGUUCAUAUCCACUGAGCUCAGGCUUCCCAGAGAGCUGGUGGCUAUUUCCCCCAUGGACAUGGCCGAGCCCAAACUUCUCCUGCCCAUGGCCUUCACCUCAUGUACCACCUUUGGCGUAGACCAGAAAAGAUUGCUCCCAUCAUAGAAAUGCAUGUAGAACUAGUAUAUACAUAAACUAAUACACAGAGAUCCUGUAUUCUAGGAUCUAUUCUAUCAUGC
rnacentral:lncRNA from 1 species